rnacentral:misc_RNA from 1 species
AACAAAUUCAAGAAAAAGUUUUAUUGAUUCAUCAAUAAAAUUGGCUAGACAAUUGGGAUUUCAUGGACUUGAUCUUGAUUGGGAAUAUCCUGAAUCAACUAUAGACAUGACAAAUUUAGGUAUUCUUUUAGACGAUUUUCGUGCUGCCAUCAACACAGAGGCAAGAAACUCCGGUAAGGCAUCACUAUUUCUCACAUCGGCUGUUUCCAACACACCCCGAGUCAAUGGUUUGAACUAUCCGGUUCAAUCA